rnacentral:tRNA from 1 species
GCCCUCGUGGCCUAACGGAUAAGGCAUCGGUCUCCUAAACCACGGGGAUUGCGGGUUCGAAUCCCGCCGAGGGUA